GACAGAGGUCCCGAGCGUUAGGCGGAAUCACUGGGCUUAAAGCGUGUGUAGGCGGAUCUAUAAGUACCUUGUGAAAUCCCACGGCUUAACCGUGGAACUGCUUGGUAUACUGUAGAUCUUGAGCCACCUAGGGGCGAGCGGAACAAGUGGUGGAGCGGUGAAAUGCGUAGAUAUCACUUGGAACGCCAAUGGUGAAAACAGCUCGCUGGGGGUGUGCUGACGCUGAGACACGAAAGCCAGGGGAGCAAACGGG
rnacentral:rRNA from 2 species